rnacentral:rRNA from 1 species
UACGGGGGGGGCAAGCGUUGUUCGGAAUUACUGGGCGUAAAGCGCACGUAGGCGGCUUUGUAAGUUAGAGGUGAAAGCCCAGGGCUCAACCCUGGAAUUGCCUUUAAGACUGCAUCGCUUGAACAUCGGAGAGGUAAGUGGAAUUCCGAGUGUAGAGGUGAAAUUCGUAGAUAUUCGGAAGAACACCAGUGGCGAAGGCGGCCCCCUGGUUGGAUACUGACGCUGAGACGCGAAAGCGUGGGGAGCAAACAGG